AUUGAACGCUGGCGGCAUGCCUUACACAUGCAAGUCGAACGGCAGCACGGGAGCAAUCCUGGUGGCGAGUGGCGAACGGGUGAGUAAUAUAUCGGAACGUGCCCAGUCGUGGGGGAUAACGUAGCGAAAGCUACGCUAAUACCGCAUACGAUCUAUGGAUGAAAGCGGGGGAUCGCAAGACCUCGCGCGAUUGGAGCGGCCGAUAUCAGAUUAGGUAGUUGGUGGGGUAAAGGCUCACCAAGCCAACGAUCUGUAGCUGGUCUGAGAGGACGACCGGCCACACUGGAACUGAGACACGGUCCAGACUCCUACAGGAGGCAGCAGUGGGGAAUUUUGGACAAUGGACGCAAGUCUGAUCCAGCCAUUCCGCGUGCAGGAUGAAGGCCCUCGGGUUGUAAACUGCUUUUGUACGGAACGAAAAGGUCUCUCUUAAUACGGGGGACUCAUGACGGUACCGUAAGAAUAAGCGCCGGCUAACUACGUGCCAGCAGCCGCCGUAA
rnacentral:rRNA from 1 species